UACAGAGGGUGCAAGCGUUGUUCAGAAUUACUGGGCGUAAAGCGCGUGUAGGCGGCUUGAUAAGUCAGACGUGAAAUCCCUCGGCUUAACCGGGGAACUGCGUCUGAUACUGGAUGGCUUGAGUUCGGGAGAGGGAUGCGGAAUUCCAGGUGUAGCGGUGAAAUGCGUAGAUAUCUGGAGGAACACCGGUGGCGAAGGCGGCAUCCUGGACCGAUACUGACGCUGAGGAGCGAAAGCCAGGGGAGCAAACGGG
rnacentral:rRNA from 1 species